AAAAAAGUUCAUGGAUCUAAACUUGUUCCCUGAAGGUCACCUGAUAAAACUGGACCCAUGGAGAAGUACACACAUUUAGAACACGAAGCGCAACGGAACCGUAGUGAUCAGGCUGUACAAUUCUGCACUUUCAGCUUGAGGACAGCAGCACCAUGCAAAAACGUCAAAACCACACUCAGUUUUUAUUUUUUAUUAUUAGGGCAGUCAAAAACCAAGAAGAAAAAAAGGAAACAAUUGGCUUUUUAAAUAGGUGUUGAAAUCCCAAUGUGUGUACAGAUUAGUGAGUUUCCAGACAGAUUUUUUUGCCUUAAGUGUCAGACGCAGUCUUUUGAUUGAUGGAGCCAUGCAGGUCUCAGCAUCGGCUGUAGUUUUGUCUGAAAUGAUUUAUAAUGGUGCUAGCAGUCCUCUCCUAUUCAUUCCUGCACAGCAGCACACGCCUGACCUGAUAGACCACUGAAGCUAUUUUCGGCAUUACUUCUCCCCCCCACGAUUACAGUUUUUACGAACACACCAGUAGCACAGUGAACACUGCUAUCGAGUCAUUUGGCUUUAAAUGGCUUUAAAAUCAUGUGGAGGUGGGGGUGGAGGGGUGGGGGGGUUUCCACAAAAGAAAGAAAGUAAUGCACCUGGAGAAACAAGGCCUCUGAACCCAUCAAAUGAUUUUUGUCCUCCUGGAGUUUGAGCAGCGUGCUGGGGACUGUUCACAUUUCCCCUAUAAUCACACUUGACUGAACAAAGCCCCUUGCAUGGGGGGGUCAUGUCAUAACUCAUAACCCCCCCAUUCACACAGAAAGAACGUCCACAUCCCCCCCACCCCACCCCCCAACUAUUGUCGCAUGAUGUGGAAACCGAAACGGACUUGAUGAAAGAUCUGCUGGACUCUCGUGCCAAAGCAAUGGAACAUGCAGUGGUGGAACUGAGGGAGAUUGGGUGAACAGAAGGAAGCAGACUGUACCCACUGCACAGCAUGUCAUGAAGGACUCUCUUCUAGUUUUUCAACCCACUGCCAGAACUCUAACACACAAGUGGGCUGACACCCAUGCUGAUGACAUCUCACUCGGAAACACCGGAUUCCUCAGCAGUGAUACAGCUGUGCAUAUGUUUAGUUCACUCUGGUCUCCUCCCCUGUUUAGCUAAACAGGCCAUCCUUGUCAGUGUCUAUUAUUUUACAGUGAUACGGUCAUCACUCGGGGGCUCGUCCAGGAGUUCGUUAGUCAGUGGGUAAUUGAUGUUCUGCACAUCUGUUUUGUACAUUUGUAGAGGAACAUACUGAUAACUAAACUCAAUUCCAUUACUGUUUUGUUUGUAUUCAUUUUAAAGAAAUUAACUGGAGUAUUAUUUCUAUGAGUCAUUUUUGUAAGGUAAUAUUUUUUCUUUCUCCAAAUUUGCAUUUGUUGUGAAUUUUUGGAUUAAAUAUUCACAUGAAAUCAGUACUUGAGAAAUUGUAAAUUAUAUAAUGAAGUCGUUGUAUGUAAGUAUGCCAAAUACUGUACCUUGUCUAUUAAAAUUAUUGUACAUAUUGUGUUUUUAACAAACUGUAGUUAUAACAGAUUUACAGCUUUGAAUGUGGAAACAGCAAAUUAUAAUUAUAAAUGUCAAAUAUUUAUGUUUUGUGAGUGUAGAGAAACAGAGGUAAUUCCAAUGUACACCUAACUCAUUUGCAUUCUAAAAUAACUACCCUGUGGAAUAAAAAAAAUCAAAUUUA
ensembl:lncRNA